rnacentral:rRNA from 1 species
AUUGAACGCUGGCGGCAUGCCUUACACAUGCAAGUCGAACGGUAACAGGUCUUCGGUUGCUGACGAGUGGCGAACGGGUGAGUAAUACACCGGAACGUGCCCAGACGUGGGGGAUAACGAGGCGAAAGCUUUGCUAAUACCGCAUACGAUCUAAGGAUGAAAGCAGGGGACCGCAAGGCCUUGUGCGGUUGGAGCGGCCGAUGGCAGAUUAGGUAGUUGGUGGGAUAAAAGCUUACCAAGCCGACGAUCUGUAGCUGGUCUGAGAGGACGACCAGCCACACUGGGACUGAGACACGGCCCAGACUCCUGCGGGAGGCAGCAGUGGGGAAUUUUGGACAAUGGGCGAAAGCCUGAUCCAGCAAUGCCGCGUGCAGGAUGAAGGCCUUCGGGUUGUAAAGUGCUUUUGUACGGAACGAAAAGGCUCUGGCUAAUACCUGGGGCACAUGACGGUACCGGAAGAAUAAGCACCGGCUAACUACGUG